GUUCUCAUAGUUCAGUUCAGUAUAAUGUAGGUCUCCAAAACCUGAUGCCAUAGGUCCAAAUCCUAUAGGGUGUG
rnacentral:tRNA from 1 species